rnacentral:rRNA from 1 species
UACGAAGGGGGCUAGCGUUGCUCGGAAUUACUGGGCGUAAAGCGUGCGUAGGUGGUUCGUUAAGUCUGUCGUGAAAGCCCCGGGCUCAACCUGGGAAUGGCCGUUGAAACUGGCGAACUGGAGUGUGGCAGAGGGGGGUGGAAUUCCGCGUGUAGCAGUGAAAUGCGUAGAGAUGCGGAGGAACACCGAUGGCGAAGGCAGCCCCCUGGGCUGACACUGACGCUCAGGCACGAAAGCGUGGGGAGCAAACAGG